GCUGGGUGUGGUUGUGCAUGCCUGUAGUCCCAGCUACUUGGGAGGCUAAGGCAGGAGGAUUGCUUGAGCCCAGGAGUUUGAGGCCGCAGUGAGCUGUGAUUGCACCACUGCACUCCAGCAUGGGCAACAGAGAGAGACCCUGUCUCUU
rnacentral:SRP_RNA from 2 species